rnacentral:piRNA from 1 species
UGACUGAACAGGUUGUGUUUGCUCCUCC